rnacentral:rRNA from 1 species
UACGUAGGGUGCGAGCGUUGUCCGGAAUCACUGGGCGUAAAGGGCGCGUAGGUGGCUUCUCACGCGCGCGGUGAAAGCCCGGGGCUCAACCCCGGGUCGGCCGUGCGGACUGGGAGGCUCGAGCACUGUAGGGGCGGGUGGAAUUCCGGGUGUAGCGGUGGAAUGCGCAGAUAUCAGGAGGAACACCGAUGGCGAAGGCAGGUCACUGGGCCGCAACUGACGCUGAGGAGCGAAAGCAUGGGGAGCGAACAGG